UCAAGUAAUUAAGUGCAUGUGGUGGAUGCCUUGGCAGUCAGAGGCGAUGAAAGACGUGAUAGCCUGCGAAAAGCUCCGGGGAGGCGGCAAAUAUCCUUUGAUCCGGAGAUGUCUGAAUGGGGGAACCCACCUACUUUAAGGUAGGUAUUGCAACAUGAAUACAUAGUGUUGCAAGGCGAACGAGGGGAAGUGAAACAUCUCAGUACCCUUAGGAAAAGAAAUCAAUUGAGAUUCCCUCAGUAGCGGCGAGCGAACGGGGAUCAGCCCAUUAAGUUAUGUGUGUUUUAGUGGAACGCUCUGGGAAGUGCGAACGUAGAGGGUGAUAUUCCCGUACACGAAAGGGCACACAUAAUGAUGACGAGUAGGGCGAGGCACGUGAAACCUUGUCUGAAUAUGGGGGGACCAUCCUCCAAGGCUAAAUACUCCUGACUGACCGAUAGUGAACCAGUACCGUGAGGGAAAGGCGAAAAGAACCCCUGUGAGGGGAGUGAAAUAGAUCCUGAAACCGCAUGCAUACAAGCAGUGGGAGCACCUUCGUGGUGUGACUGCGUACCUUUUGUAUAAUGGGUCAGCGACUUAUAUUCAGUAGCGAGGUUAACCGUAUAGGGGAGCCGUAGAGAAAUCGAGUCUUAAUAGGGCGUUUAGUUGCUGGGUAUAGACCCGAAACCAGGCGAUCUAUCCAUGAGCAGGUUGAAGGUUGGGUAACACUAACUGGAGGACCGAACCCACUGUCGUUGAAAAGCCAGGGGAUGACUUGUGGAUAGGGGUGAAAGGCUAAUCAAGCCUGGUGAUAGCUGGUUCUCCCCGAAAGCUAUUUAGGUAGCGCCUCGGACGAAUACCAUAGGGGGUAGAGCACUGUUUCGGCUAGGGGGUCAUCCCGACUUACCAAACCGAUGCAAACUCCGAAUACCUAUGAGUACUAUCCGGGAGACAGACUGCGGGUGCUAACGUCCGUAGUCAAGAGGAAAACAAUCCAGACCGCCAGCUAAGGCCCCAAAAUCAUAGUUAAGUGGGAAACGAUGUGGGAAGGCAUAGACAGCUAGGAGGUUGGCUUAGAAGCAGCCACCCUUUAAAGAAAGCGUAAUAGCUCACUAGUCGAGUCGGCCUGCGCGGAAGAUGUAACGGGGCUAAAACUAUGUGCCGAAGCUGCGGAUGUAUACUUUGUAUACGUGGUAGGGGAGCGUUCUGUAAGCCGAUGAAGGUGUGUUGAGAAGCAUGCUGGAGGUAUCAGAAGUGCGAAUGCUGACGUGAGUAACGACAAAACGGGUGAAAAACCCGUUCGCCGAAAGACCAAGGGUUCCAGUCCAACGUUAAUCGGGGCUGGGUGAGUCGACCCCUAAGGCGAGGCCGAAAGGCGUAGUCGAUGGGAAAAUGGUUAAUAUUCCAUUACUUCUGUGUAAUGCGAUGAGAGGACGGAGAAGGCUAAAUCAGCCUGGCGUUGGUUGUCCAGGUGAAAGGAUGUAGGCAUGUAUCUUAGGCAAAUCCGGGGUACUCUAUGCUGAGAUCUGAUAGCAAGCUGUACUUGUACAGCGAAGUGGUUGAUGCCAUGCUUCCAGGAAAAGUCUCUAAGCUUCAGUUACACAGGAAUCGUACCCGAAACCGACACAGGUGGUCAGGUCGAGUAGACCAAGGCGCUUGAGAGAACUCUGCUGAAGGAACUAGGCAAAAUGGUACCGUAACUUCGGGAGAAGGUACGCUGUUGUUGGUGAUGGAACUCGCUUCCUGAGCUGACGACAGCCGCAGAAACCAGGCCGCUGCAACUGUUUAUUAAAAACAUAGCACUCUGCAAACACGAAAGUGGACGUAUAGGGUGUGAUGCCUGCCCGGUGCUGGAAGGUUAAUUGAUGGGGUUAGCGUAAGCGAAGCUCUUGAUCGAAGCCCCAGUAAACGGCGGCCGUAACUAUAACGGUCCUAAGGUAGCGAAAUUCCUUGUCGGGUAAGUUCCGACCUGCACGAAUGGCAUAAUGAUGGCGGCGCUGUCUCCAGCAGAGGCUCAGUGAAAUCGAAAUCGCUGUGAAGAUGCAGUGUACCCGCGGCUAGACGGAAAGACCCCGUGAACCUUUACUGCAGCUUGACACUGAACUUUGACCUUACUUGUGUAGGAUAGGUGGGAGGCUUUGAAGCUGGAACGCUAGUUCCAGUGGAGCCGUCCUUGAAAUACCACCCUGGUAAUGUUGAGGUUCUAACUCUGUCCCGUGAUCCGGGACGAGGACCGUGUCUGGUGGGUAGUUUGACUGGGGCGGUCUCCUCCUAAAGAGUAACGGAGGAGUACGAAGGUGCGCUCAGCGUGGUCGGAAAUCACGCGUAGAGUAUAAAGGCAAAAGCGCGCUUAACUGCGAGACCCACAAGUCGAGCAGGUACGAAAGUAGGUCUUAGUGAUCCGGCGGUUCUGUAUGGAAGGGCCAUCGCUCAACGGAUAAAAGGUACUCUGGGGAUAACAGGCUGAUACCGCCCAAGAGUUCAUAUCGACGGCGGUGUUUGGCACCUCGAUGUCGGCUCAUCUCAUCCUGGGGCUGAAGCAGGUCCCAAGGGUAUGGCUGUUCGCCAUUUAAAGAGGUACGCGAGCUGGGUUUAGAACGUCGUGAGACAGUUCGGUCCCUAUCUACCGUGGGCGCUGGAAAUUUGAGAGGAUCUGCUCCUAGUACGAGAGGACCAGAGUGGACGAACCUCUGGUGUACCGGUUGUGACGCCAGUCGCAUCGCCGGGUAGCUAUGUUCGGAAGGGAUAACCGCUGAAAGCAUCUAAGCGGGAAGCCUACCUCAAGAUAAGAUUUCCCUAGGACUUUAUGUCCUCUAAAGAGCCGUUCGAGACUAGGACGUUGAUAGGUUGGAUGUGGAAGCAUAGUGAUAUGUGAAGCUGACCAAUACUAAUUGCUCGUGAGGCUUGACUAU
rnacentral:rRNA from 1 species